AGUGAACGCUGGCGGUAGGCCUAACACAUGCAAGUCGAACGGCAGCACAGUAAGAGCUUGCUCUUACGGGUGGCGAGUGGCGGACGGGUGAGGAAUACAUCGGAAUCUACUUUUUCGUGGGGGAUAACGUAGGGAAACUUACGCUAAUACCGCAUACGACCUACGGGUGAAAGCAGGGGAUCUUCGGACCUUGCGCGAUUGAAUGAGCCGAUGUCGGAUUAGCUAGUUGGCGGGGUAAAGGCCCACCAAGGCGACGAUCCGUAGCUGGUCUGAGAGGAUGAUCAGCCACACUGGAACUGAGAAACGGUCCAGACUCCUACGGGAGGCAGCAGUGGGGAAUAUUGGACAAUGGGCGCAAGCCUGAUCCAGCCAUACCGCGUGGGUGAAGAAGGCCUUCGGGUUGUAAAGCCCUUUUGUUGGGAAAGAAAAGCAGCAGGUUAAUACCCCGCUGUUCUGACGGUACCCAAAGAAUAAGCACCGGCGAACUUCGU
rnacentral:rRNA from 1 species